rnacentral:rRNA from 1 species
GGGGGAAUUUUGGACAAUGGGCGCAAGCCUGAUCCAGCCAUGCCGCGUGCGGGAAGAAGGCCUUCGGGUUGUAAACCGCUUUUGGCAGGAACGAAACGGCGACUCCUAAUACGAGUCGUUAAUGACGGUACCUGCAGAAUAAGCACCGGCUAACUACGUGCCAGCAGCCGCGGUAAUACGUAGGGUGCAAGCGUUAAUCGGAAUUACUGGGCGUAAAGCGUACGCAGGCGGCUUUGCAAGACAGGUGUGAAAUCCCCGGGCCUAACCUGGGAACUGCAUUUGUGACUGCAUGGCUAGAGUCUGUCAGAGGGGGGUGGAAUUCCACGUGUAGCAAUGAAAUGCGUAGAGAUGUGGAAGAACACCGAUGGCGAAGGCAGCCCCCUGGGAUGAGACUGACGCUCAUGUACGAAAGCGUGGGAGCAAACAGGAUUAGAUACCCUGGUAGUCCACGCCCUAAACGAUGUCUACUAGUUGUCGGAGGGUAACUCCUUCGGUAACGCAGCUAACGCGUGAAGUAGACCGCCUGGGGAGUACGGUCGCAAGAUUA